AUAAGAGUUUUCCGCUUUUACAAACCACCAAAACACCUUAGACAUUUCAUAUGACUUUUGACCUGUGAUCAUCAUUCACUGAUUAUUUUUCUUCCCUUUAUAGCUGGAGCACUUGUGUGUCAAACUUGCAAAAAUCAGGAGUGUUCAAGCACGGCACCACUAACGUGUUCCUCAGAGACAAUGUGUAUAACAGCUUCCAUUCAAGGUAGGUAUUUCUUUAUGUCAUCUAUUAACUUUCAGUGAAAUACAUGUACUGUAAAGUUAUGUGUUCUUGCCGUCAACAUUAACAAAUUGCACUUAAAUUUUGUAGCUACUUCAGCUGGAACCCCAGGCCAGCAAAUCUUCAAGGCUUGUGCAUCGUCCUCCCUGUGUCCAGCCGCAGGCUCUCAGACAUUUUCAGCCAACUUGGGAGCUGCGAGUGCACUUGCAUCUGUGACAUGCUGCAACACAGAUAACUGCAACUCACCUACUCUACCAUUCCCUGCUACUCCAGCAGAUAACAGCCUACAGUGUUUCUCUUGUGACCCCGUCACCUCUCAAUGCACCAACCUAUUACAAUGUAAGGGAUCGGACCGCUGCUUUCAAGCGACUGGUGAGUCUUAAUUUUUUAUUUUAAAGUUUGACUUUGUAUAUGUUUUACUUCAAAGUAUUUCAAAUACAGUACUAU
rnacentral:lncRNA from 1 species